CUCCGCUCCGCCCCGCCCGCCAGGCGGCCUCCGGGCUCGGGCUCGGGCUCUCUCCGGCCGAGGGCGGUACCCGGGUGGGGAGCCUAGCUCACCGGCUUCCUGCGGGCCCAGCCUGGGUGGGUCGCCUCAAAGCACAGCCAUGACUAAGGCCAUUUGAAGUGAACAAGCAGAAUGAAAAAAAAAAAAAAAAAAAAAAAAAAAGGAUAGAAAAUGGUGGAGGAGCUGGGGAGCAAGGAGAAAGUUGGGAGAGAUUUUUCCCGAAGAUUUGAAAAUAGAAUAACGAAGAAGGAGGUUAUUGAUGAAUAAGAUCCGGGGCAUGAGAGGGAAUUGGAGCUGGGCCAAGGCAGGAUUGGAAAUGGCAGCCUGGCUCAAAGAAGCCCUAGAGACCAGGGAGCACUGGCCUGGGCCCUCCCGGCCAGCCUGGGCCACGCUCAUGAAUCUCCUUUCAGGGCCACAGGAAGUUCCUGUCAGAAGGAGGGGGUGCUAACACAUGGGAACUGACGUCAAAUUUUCUCGGACGGGUGUAGGAGUUAAGAAGGUGGAAAGGCAUAUAAAACUAUUCGAAAUUUCCUCCUGAUGGCAAUCACCAUAUUCUAAACUCUAUUCAAGUUCUCCUCAACCUCCUUUAUGUCUAAAAUCACAGGGUACAUUUUCUAUAAACCAGAGGGAUCCUCUGGAAGGAGAAAGGGACAGAGAAAGAGCACGCGCUGGAAGGGUGGUGGGAGAAUCUCAAGCCGACUGCCCUGAGUGCAUAGCCCCAGGCCACGCUCAAUCUCAUGACUCUGAGAUCAUGGCCUGAGUUGAAAUCAAGAGUCUGAUGCUCAAUCAACUGUGCUACCCAGGUAUCCCCAGAAAAUAGACACUUUUGAGAAAUUAAAAAAUAAUGGAAGGGACAUACUAUAGAAGGAAUUCAACAUCAUACGUGCUGAUAUGCCAAGGUCCCAGAUGUUAAGUCUACUGUACUUUCCAAUUUUGUGAUGUGAGAGGCCUGUGCUCUGAUAAACAUCCUGCGACCAAAUGAGAAAAGGAAUCUGCCUUGAGCAGAAACUAAGGUGUCACUCAUGCAGGGCAUGGUUUAAAUGUGGACAAAACCUGCAGAUGGUCUCCUAAUUUCUCCAUGUAGAUCCCAAUGGCCUGCCUAUUCCAGGCUGACCUUCUGGUGCUGCUCACAAGCCCAUUGUUGGCCACAUCUGGACACCCACGUCAGUUUGGAUCAUUUGGAACUGGCAACUCCUUGAAAUCGUUGGUGCAGACGAGCUGCCUGUGGAGAGGUGUCAGACGGACAUAAGGCCCACAGCGGGUCCCGUCAGGACAGCAGAAUGGAGAAAGGGACUGGGCAGGGUGCUGAGUCAACCAGGAAUAUCUGCGAGUAGGAUUGCUCAGUGCUUUGCCUCCCUGGGUUCCUGCAAAUACCUCCUGAACUCCAGGCCCUGGUGUGUGACCCUCUUGAAUCAUCAGGGCAGCACUCUGACGCUCGAAGUCUGGUGGCAGCAGGAGAGCUGGGAGGGACGGAGUAUGGCUUAGGGAUGCAGCAACUACUUGGAGUCAAGGCUCUUUAAUAAGCAUCUCGGAAGUAAGCUCCAAACUCGUCCCUUGUGUAGAAUAUUGUUUUAUUGGCUAUUACUUGCCCUAAUUAGACCCUCGCCUGAGAUCGUAGGUAUCUGGUUAGAGAGGGAGGGGACUGACCUCAUGCUAUCUUUCAUGGCACUUUGCUGGGCCCACAGGGACUCGGUGAGUGUCAGAUGGUCCUGCCAUGUGAAAGAGAAGAAUGUGAUACUGCUCUAAGGGUCACUAUAGGAUGUCAUCAGGAAGUUGCCUUCCUGCUUUGUCCCCACUCCUAUUGAAGCCGAGGGGAAAACUCAUAAAGUGUGGACGGGGGAGGGGCUGCUGAGAAAAAUGGAACAUAUUGGGACACAUCAGACCACCAGGUGCCGUGAGGUUGCUAUCACUGCCCUAGAAGCUCUAUAGAAUAUUCGUCUUCGGGUUGAAGGCCCGGGAGGUUUGCUGCUGCCUGCGCCCUCCCUUCAUGCCGUCUUGGGGGAGGUGGCUGGUGGUCUUACAGAAAGAAAUUGGUCUUCUUCCCUCUGUAAGCUAACGCGCCAUCCUGGCCUUCGUGAAGGCCCACCCACUCCUACCUUCUUGUCUUGCCCACGCAUCGCAGAUUUAGCCUGCCCGUUCUCUCCUUUUCAUUAUCUAGUCUCUUGCAUGAAUUUCUCUCCCCCUGAUCUUACUGAAGUGUGGGGUAGUUUCCCAUCUUUUCCUCCACCCACACUCUGUCUGAAAAUCAGCCUCCAGAGUCCCUCACUCAGGAAUGCAAAGGAGAACAUCCAGUUCUCAGCAGAGAGAUGUUGCAUCCAAACUGUCGGAGGAGGAUGUUGGACCCAGUGGUUCAGACUUCAGUCCGGCUGAGUUCAGGCUGGUGCAUCGUAAAACCGUGGUGGAAUGCUGAGUAGCCUCUGAUCAGUUCAUCCUCUUCCCUAGUAUUCCGUGUGGCCUUGGGACAAACUUCAUGUCCAUUCUUUGUGAACUCUGUGUCCUUCCGUGGUCCAUGCUCUCAUUUUCUCUCUCCUGCCUCAAACUUACAGUUCCCAGCAUUGCCUGAUGGAUGAACACGUGACUCUCAUCUCUUAAAGUUAUUACCUGAUCCUGGAUCUAUUUCUCCACUUCUAGUUCAGUAUUGCUGAUAGAUAUUUACUAAUCAAUUAUUAAAGCUGAUUCUGUCCCUUAGUGAACCGUGGUUUAUAAAACCAUCAUCGUGGGGAUCCCUGGGUGGCUCAGUGGUUUAGUGCCUGCCUUCAGCCCAGAGUGUGAUCCUGGAGUCCCAGGAUCGAGUCCCAUAUCAGGCUCCCUGCAUGGAGCCUGCUUCUCUCUCUGCCUCUCUCUCUCUCUCUCUCUCUCUCUCUCAUGAAUAAAUAAAUAAAAAUAUUUAAAAAAAAGUAAAACCAUCAUUGCAUAUUAAUUCCUGGGCAAGCCUCCCCAGUGGCCCUGUAAUGGGUGCCUGUGUCCUAGGCACUUUGUCUGUAUUGCUCAGCACUAGCCAUUACCUAUAGCCUGCUCCUAGCUUGUCCUGUCUCUAAGCUUGCACCCCCACCCAGCCUACCCUAACUUGGAAUUUGGGGUUGAAAGUAUACACUUGGUACUCAAAUCUUUUGCAUGUCCUAUGUCCUCAUAUGGUAACAUUUAUCUUGUUUUGCUUUCAUUAUUUGCUGACCCCUGGCCCUCCCAGGCCAGACCACAGACCCCUCUUGGGCAAGGACUGUAUCUCACUCAUCCUUGGAUCCUAAGUGCCCGACACAAGACAGGUACUCAGAAAAUAUUUUGAGCCACUUGGGUUAGCAGUUGAGGUCUUCUAAGGGAAAGACCUUAUAGAAUUCAAAAGGCCCAGCCUUGCCACAGCCAGUACUUUUUCCCAGAAGCAGUGGUGAUGACAAAUGACCAAAUUAGCAAAAGAUAGGCUGUUCACAUUCAUCCCAGAGAAUUGUUUUGCAGGUUUGUUUGUGUCUAUUUGCUUAUUUGUUCACUUUUAAAUAAAGUAGAACUUCUCUCUGAAACUCAUGUCGAGUCAGCUGACUACAAUAGUCAGAAAAAAAAAAAAUGCUGUGUUCCACUUUUUUUCCUCACUGUCAGUAAAAGCCAAGGUUUAGUGCAGGCAAGUCAUACAAUCACCUGAGGAGCUACAAUGAGGAGAAGCUUCCAGAAAGAUUCGAGUACCCUGGACCAUAAAGGCUUCCUUUGCCUGUCACUCUGCCUUGGUGUGUGCAUUUUCCUAACCCACCUCCCAGGAGACUGGGGAGCAUGCACCUGAGAGCAGAGCCGUGGGGGCAUACAAGUCACAGCAGCUUAGGGACGAAUCCCCAUCUCCCUGAACCUGUUUCCUCACCUUUUCGAUGAGAAUGCUGCCUAUCCUACAGUGUCGUCACAGUGAUUAGUGAUCCUAUAGAUGUGUCAUUAUGAUUGUGAUGAUUAUGGAAACCUCUGGGCAUGGACCACAUUCUCAAGCUGACACAUACUGAAAAUCAAGGCAUCUCUAAUGCAUUAUUCAUCACACCUUGACAUGACUUUUCUAUAACAUUCAACCAGAGUAUCUUCGAUCUCUUUCUUUCUCAUUUGCUAUUCUGAGCUCAGAACAUAGGAUAACUAGCUCAUCAGUUCAACAAGCUGGUUUUUUUUUUUUUUUUUUUUUUGCAUCUGCUUGUGCCAAGAUCUCAGGUUCCUGAAUGUACCUUGUUUCCUGAGGUUGAAGGUAUAAACUGAUGGAGGCUCAGGUGGUGUCAUGGAAUUUCUCAAAUAGAUCAUUAAGGCUGCAUGGCAUGUAUGCAACGUGUGUCUAUUUGGAGACACUGUUGGAAGGUGAAGCGAGCAAGAGCUCCGAUUUUUCCAGGGAGCAACUGUAGAAUUUUAAUGAGCUUUGAGUCCAUUUCUCUGCUGGAAAUAGCAGAUCUCUAAGCAUUUCUUCAAUAGCAUUACAGUAAUUAUAACAAUUCUGAAAGGAAUAAUUUACGGGGUGUAUUUUUGUAAGCUCGGAGAAAUAAGAAAGGCCACAUCCGCUUCUUCAUUUGGUAAAUGCCUAGAGUCACCAUCAGAUAGAUGUUUAAAAAUAUUAAUGACAAUAGUGUAGAUGAUUUGGUUCACGAUCUCCACCAACAUCUUGAGACAGUACUGCCUAAUUCAACUUUCUGCGAUAAAGAAGGGUUUGGAUUUGAGCUGUCUUGUAUGGUGGCCGCUGGCUACAUGUGGCCAUCGAGCACUUGAAAUGUGGUUAAUGAGACUGAGGCCUGAAUUCUGAACUUUAUUCAGUGUUAACUCAUUAAAUUUAAAUAGCUGCAUGGGCAUUGGCUACCAUACUGUACAGCGCAGCCCUAAGGCAUCAACUGAAGCCCACUCCAGCCACCCUGAGGUUUAGAGCAUCAGUGCACAUAGUGGGGGGUACCCAAAAUGCACCUGGAGAGCCACGAAGCCCAUGUACUCAGGCUGAACUGAAGCCUCCUGAUUUGAUUCUCUGAUUAUUCUUUCCACAACAGACCAGGGCAUUCAACUAGAGAGAGAGGCAGACACAAUGGCAGCAACUGGAAUGAAAAAGGUUGAACACAGACUAGGACUCAAAGAGAAAAACUGUCUAGGAUAACUGAGCAUAAGGACAAGUAGCUUUUAUACCUCAAAAGUACAGUCUUUGAUGCAUUGCACCAUCAAAAGAAUGUUAAGAGUUCAGGGACAUGAGCCUCAGAAAGGAGAGAAAAUGAGCAAGCCUCAUCUAAGACCUUUGUCCAUCAAAGGCAGGAAAGAUGUAGACACCCUGGCACACAAAUGGUGACUUUUGGUUAUCUGAAGAGUCCAGCUACUGGGUGCAUCUCAUUCCUCCCAUUAAGGAAGAAAUUGUAGUUCCCUGUGAUGUCCUCCUGCUCUUGGGAUGAAACCCUGGACAAUGACCAUGACUCCCUGGGCUCCUGGAUGUGGCUUUGUUGGCCCCUCCCACCUCACCUCAUCCCAGCCUCCUGACUCCUUGUUCUCCAGCACCUUCUGUUUCCUGAAGGUGCUAUGAGCCUUCCUCCAUAGGGCUUUGCAUGUGAUGUUCCCUCAAGAAGGAUUCUUUCGCCCAAACUCCUUCUUCUCCCCACUCCAGAUCCUGGUUCACAUACUACUACUUGGAAAGCCUGCUUACACCUUCACACCUCCACCUCCUCCCCAGCCCAAGAAGACAUGGCUCCUUGGUUAUCAUGCUUCCAUCUGAUCUCCUUUGCCUGGAACACCUACUUGAGCAUAUAUAUUCAUCAGGGAGAUUAUAUGACUUAUUCACUUGUAAACUCUAAGAAGCAGGGAUUGUGUUUCGUCUGAUUCAUCCACAUUUGUUGUAUCCCCAGUAGCCAGCUGAUGCUUAAUAAAUGCUAAAUGAAAGAAUGAAUGAAUUCUGGUUUCUUGGUUAGCUUUUUUUGUGUGACAGGUGUCCUCCAAUUCCUAACACAUUUACAUCUUUUUUUAUAAAGUCUCUAGUCUCUGGAAUGACUCAUCUCUUUACCCGCCAUGCCAAAGUUCUUCCGGUCCAUAACUUUUUGCCAUGCAAUCUCCAGC